GAGACCUCAGGUCAGGCGGGGCUACCCGCUGAGUUUAAGCAUAUCAAUAAGCGGAGGAAAAG
rnacentral:rRNA from 35 species